rnacentral:lncRNA from 1 species
UAGACAUAUGCAUCGACAACCGCCCUUUUAAAGUUUUUAUAAAUAGAAAGGAAGAGGGGGUUGGAGAUCUCGAAUGUGGUGAUGUUGGAGAGACCAAUGGAUUGUGAAGAUAUUACAUAUGAGCAAGGAGUAAAUGAAGUGGCUAUGAAAUAAAUUCCAUGCUCAUUAAUGUUUGGAGUGAAAUCCAUGUGGUAUGGUGAAAAUGGUAAGGUGAGAGUGGUAAAAAAAGAAAAGAAAAAGGAUACACAGACGACUUGGUUCAAAACUAGCACAGCUACCACUCCCCGGCAACGGCGCCAGAAAGCUUGUUGGGUAUUUUAAACGCAAACAGAAAAAUCCGCAAGCGCACGGAUACCGAUAUAGCCUUCACCCGGGAGUAUUCUAGAGUAUCGAUUUUCCACAGGGAAUGUGAGUGUACUAAUUAAGAUCCAAGAUCGCCCAAGGAUGACUAUAUAAUUAUUUUUGGUGGGAAAAGAGGAAGUUUCCUGAGAGUUCUCUAGUUGAUCUAAGAAUCAAGAAUUACUUCAAGAUUAUCUAUUUUGGGACAUCAGAGCACUAACCACAGAAAGAGAUGAGAAGGGGGCUAGGAAGGUCUGACUACGGUCCUACAAACACCGAUCCGAAUGUGGUGGAAUACGUCGACCGUUAGGGCUGUCACUACCCUAGGGCUACCACAACAAUCCGCAGGAUUGGGUGCUAUUCCAGGUAAUUGCAAGACUAGUGUUGACACCAUUUUUCGACACGUACCCAGGAUCGGUAGAGUGUAGAUCGGUAAGAAAAGGCAAUACUGACUGGUCUGC